CCAGAGUAGAGGAGUAGCGUUGGUCUCCUCUUUAGAAAAAGUAGCGCGUCCAUCAUGUCGGACAAAAACAACGCUGUACGAUGCUCCAUCUUCUUGUUUCUCCAAAAUGCCCAGCAGCAGUUGUAGACACUUCUGACGUCUGACACCGACCUGCUGUUGUUGUUGACGGUUGUAUGGGGUCGGAAACAGCGCCGCUGAAAAGACCCAUAUCGCCCCCUAGUGUUGGGGAGGAGGACACGUUCACGUCAAUAAUUCGAUUUUCUCAGCUGCAUGUAAACGAGGACGAGGAGAGAAGUCUGAUUGAUUUCUGA